rnacentral:rRNA from 1 species
AGCAGUGGGGAAUAUUGCACAAUGGGCGCAAGCCUGAUGCAGCCAUGCCGCGUGUAUGAAGAAGGCCUUCGGGUUGUAAAGUACUUUCAGCAGUGAGGAAGGUGGAUAUGUUAAUAGCAUAUUCAUUUGACGUUAGCUGCAGAAGAAGCACCGGCUAACUCCGUGCCAGCAGCCGCGGUAAUACGGAGGGUGCGAGCGUUAAUCGGAAUUACUGGGUGUAAAGCGCAUGCAGGUGGUUUGUUAAGUCAGAUGUGAAAGCCCCGGGGCUCAACCUCGGAAUUGCAUUUGAAACUGGCAAACUAGAGUACUGUAGAGGGGGUAGAAUUUCAGGGUGUAGCGGUGAAAUGCGUAGAGAUCUGAAGGAAUACCGGUGGCGAAGGCGGCCCCCUGGACAGAUACUGACACUCAGAUGCGAAAGCGUGGGGAGCAAACAGGAUUAGACUACCCUGGUAG